GACGAACCGUGCGAACGUUGUUCGGAAUUACUGGGCGUAAAGGGCGCGUAGGCGGCCUGCUAAGUCGAACGUGAAAUCCCUGGGCUCAACCCAGGAACUGCGUCCGAUACUGGUUGGCUUGAAUCCGGGAGAGGGAUGUGGAAUUCCAGGUGUAGCGGUGAAAUGCGUAGAUAUCUGGAGGAACACCGGUGGCGAAGGCGACAUCCUGGACCGGUAUUGACGCUGAGGCGCGAAAGCUAGGGGAGCAAACGGG
rnacentral:rRNA from 1 species